rnacentral:lncRNA from 1 species
GUGUUACUUUAUGAUGAUGCAGCUUUUCAAUAUACCAGAUUGUCAAGAGUGGUUUUAAACACCGUUUGUCUCUAAAACUUUCAUUUGACGGUUUUGUGCGGUCGUUGUGUUGCAAGACGUCAUGGUGUUAGAACCUGGAAGUUGCUUAAGUGCUAUAAAUUACUGUCGGCAGGACUGCUUUGAGCUACAAACACUGCUACUUUGCACGUUUAAGUGUCGUAAACAAGGUUCUGGGGUUCGAGAAUUCUCUACGACUGGCCGCUGCACUCUGGAUAGCGGGUUCGGAUCGCGAGGCAUCAUCACCCACGAAAGCAGCAGAGUUCCAGCAACUGAGAACCACAUCGUUUUCCAGCAUUGCAGUGACUACAAAGCUGUUCCUGUGACUUGGAGAACUGCUUUUUUUCCAUUCAGUCCGUCUCUGGUCACUAACUCCCUGAACUUGAAAAGGUUAGUAGAACUGUAUUAAGUGUAUGUUGGAAAGGAAUUCAGAGAUGCACUUGCUUCCAAAACACCCUCUCUGACAUUUUCCUCCCCCUCUAACGGAGCGCAAAACACAAUUCAUUUUCCAAAUCCCUUUGUUUGUUGGACACUACAGUGUCAGUUAUCGUUUGCCAUUCCUGAGUGCUAAAUGAACACACACUCAGAUUCAAACAGCAACAGAAAAAAUAACAGUAUACAAUAUACACAAAACAGUGUCAAAGAGGUUUUACAAACUUGGUUUGCACUGUUUUAGUUGAAAGGUCUUGGAGGAAAAGACUAAGACAGCAGUGAGGUCACUGAGUUGAUAGGCUUCUUGCUCAAGGUUUAAAAGCUUUCAGGGCACCAUUUGUAUAUAAAAAGAUCUGUACUCACUUUUCCAUUACCACCAUUCUAAUACAACAUUAUUUUACAGUGACAGACUGCAUUCGCAAUCAUCAUGGCCCAUUUAUUGAAUCCCCCGAUGACUUAGAAACAAGUCUGUUUUCUGUUUGAGAACUGUAGGCUUGAAGCGGUUAUCAUGAAUUGAGUUACAAGCUUUGAACUUUCCUUUAAAUUAUACCUGUGACUACCCAUGUCAAAAUCAAUAAAACUUUCUUCAGACAAAAAGUUCCCACUUUAGAAAAAGCUCCGGUUUGCCAAAAACAGCAUUUGGAAAUUAGUGCAGGUGUUAAAGACUC